AGCCUGCCCAGUGACCCAGUUUAACGGCCGCGGUAUCCUAACCGUGCGAAGGUAGCGUAAUCACUUGUUUUCUAAAUAAAGACUAGUAUGAAAGGCACCACGAGAACUAAACUGUCUCCCUUUUCUAAUCAGUGAACCUAAUCUCCCCGUGAAGAAGCGGGGAUUUUUUAAUAAGACGAGAAGACCCUAUGGAGCUUAAAAUAUCAUAACACCUGACACCCUUACCCCCCCCCCCCACAAGAUGAUUAUGUAUUUUUGGUUGGGGUGACCGCGGAGAAAAACCCAUCCUCCGCGAUAAAAGAGCCCCCCUCCUCAACAAGCUACAGCUUUAUGUAUUAGAAAACUAACCCAAUUGA
rnacentral:rRNA from 2 species